rnacentral:rRNA from 1 species
UACGUAGGGUGCAAGCGUUAAUCGGAAUUACUGGGCGUAAAGCGUGCGCAGGCGGUGAUGUAAGACAGUUGUGAAAUCCCCGGGCUUAACCUGGGAACUGCAUCUGUGACUGCAUUGCUGGAGUGCGGCAGAGGGGGAUGGAAUUCCGCGUGUAGCAGUGAAAUGCGUAGAUAUGCGGAGGAACACCGAUGGCGAAGGCAAUCCCCUGGGCCUGCACUGACGCUCAUGCACGAAAGCGUGGGGAGCAAACAGG